rnacentral:other from 1 species
UUAGCCCUGCUGUGCUCGUGAUGCCGCAAAACCGGUUUUGAGCCAACACCUAUAAAAAGGGAGCCAAUCUCACGGGCGCGAUGCGAUAGGCUUAGGCCAAGGCAGAGCCACCGGGGCGGCUCCCACCUGCGAAAGCAGGUUCAAAACUUCGCAGCACACGGCACGGUGGGGUGUUU